rnacentral:rRNA from 1 species
UACGGAGGUGCAAGCGUUAUCCGGAUUCACUGGGUUUAAAGGGUGCGUAGGCGGCCUUUUAAGUCAGUGCUGAAAUACUCUAGCUUAACUAGAGGGGUGGCAUUGAUACUGAAAGGCUUGAGUGAAGUCGAAGUAGGCGGAAUUGACGGUGUAGCGGUGAAAUGCUUAGAUAUCGUCAAGAACACCGAUAGUGAAGACAGCUUACUAGACUUCAACUGACGCUGAGGCACGAAAGUGUGGGGAUCAAACAGG